rnacentral:rRNA from 1 species
AUGGGAACCAGCAACAUCCCGUCGCCUCCUUAUCCACUCGGGCGUGCAUAUGGGCUGGUGGACAGCCAUCACGCUAGGCCUAGUUGGCUAGUGGGCACUAGCCCAUGCUGUACGAGCAGUAAAGAAAAAAAGAAUCAAAAACGAAAAGGAAAAGGAAAAGGUGGCUUGGCCACGGGUAUGGCUGACAUAUCCAAGAAGGAAUUUGCUGAGCUUGCCAUUGAUGGCAGAAACUAUCUCACCUGGGCCAUGGAUGUCAAGAUUAACUUGGCGGCCAGGAAUCUAAUCUGCACUAUAACCACACCUACUCAAGGUGCUCCUGCUAUCGCGGAUACGGCAAAGUAUGCUUCUUUGCACUUCAUUCGACACCACCUUGAUCUUGCUCUAGAAAAAGAGUACAUGAUGGAGGAAAGUCCUCUAUCACCGUGGAACUCCUUAAAGGAGCGUUAUGAUCAACAAAGAUUAGUGAUGUUGCCUCGGCACUUAUCCGUUUCCAUGAUUUUAAGUCCAUUGCAGCAUACAAUUCUGCUGUGCAUCAAAUUAACUCUAAGUUGA